rnacentral:rRNA from 1 species
AUUGAACGCUGGCGGCAGGCCUAACACAUGCAAGUCGAACGAGUGGCGGACGGGUGAGUAAUGUCUGGGAAACUGCCCGAUGGAGGGGGAUAACUACUGGAAACGGUAGCUAAUAACGCAUACCAUCGGAUGUGCCCAGCUGGGAUUAGAUAGGAGGUGGGGUAACGGCUCACCUAGGCGCCGAUCCCUAGCUGGUCUGAGAGGAUGACCAGCGACACUGGAACUGAGACACGGUCCAGACUCCGCCGGGAGGCAGCAGGGGGGAAUAUUGCACAAUGGGCGCAAGCCUGAUGCAGCCAGGCCUCGUUUAUGAAGAAGGCCUUCGGGUUGUAAAGUACUUUCAGCGAGGAGGCGUUACUCGCAGAAGAAGCACCGGCUAACUCCGUGCCAGCAGCCGCGGUAAUUC